rnacentral:lncRNA from 1 species
AGGUUUACAUGCAGUAUUUGUAAAGCUUGAAGAAGAAAGGGUACCCUGAAAACCUCUUGCUCAAUGGGAGGAGUGGCUGACACCCCGGAGGGCUGUGCUGCCAUCCAGCGAGACUUGGACAGGCUGGAGGGCUGGGCAAAGAAGAACCUCAUGAGGUUCAACAGGGAAAAGUGUAGGGUCCUGCACCUGGGGAAGAAGAAUGUCAGGCACCAAUACAGGUUAGGGGUGGACCCGCUAGAGGCAACUACUGAAGAGAAAGAUCUAGGGGUCCUGGUGGACAGUAAAAUGGCAAUGAGUAAACAGUGUGCUCUUGCGGCCAGGAAGGCCAAUGGUAUCUUGGGUUGUAUAGGGAAGAGUGUGGCCAGCAGGUCAAGGGAAGUCAUUCUCCCCCUCUACUCUGCACUGGUGAGGCCACAACUGGAGUACUGUGUCCAGUUCUGGGCUCCCCAGUUCAAGAGGGACAGGGAACUACUAGAAAGAGUCCAGCGUAGGGCUACAAAGAUGAUUCAGGGAUUGGAGCAUCUCCCUUAUGAGGAGAGACUGAGAGAGCUGGGACUCUUUAGUCUGGAGAAGAGAAGGCUGAGGGGAGACCUUAUCAACGCCUACAAGUAUCUCAAGGGAGGGUUGAAGGAGGAGGGAGCCAGACUCUUUUCAGUGGUUCCCACCGAGAGGACGAGGGGCAAUGGGCACAAGUUGGAACAUAAGAGGUUCCACUCAAAUAUGAGGAGAAACUUCUUCACGGUGAGGGUGACGGAACCCUGGAACAGGCUGCCCAGGGAGGUUGUGGAGUCCCCUUCUUUGGAGAUUUUCAAAACCCGCCUGGAUGUAGUCCUGAGUAACAUGCUCUAGCUCUGGGCAAUCCUGCUUCAGCAGGGGAGUUGGACUAGAUGAUCUCUAUGGUCCCUUCCAACUCUAGAAAUUCAAUGAAAUUCAAUGAAAUUCAAUGAAAUGCUUGCGUUGCGAGCUGUUUUGGGCUGUGCUGGCACUGUCAGGAGAAGCGGGUG